GAUUUAAGAGAUGGUCUAUAAUUUCCUUUUCAUGAUUAGUGUUAAACUGGUCUCAUGGAAAGAUCUGGAAAUUGUUUCCUCUUUGUCUGUUCUCAGGAAGUUUAUGAAGGAUUGAAUUCUAGCCACUUUCGCCUUCCUGGCCUCCCACCUCCAUCUCUUUGGCCCUGGAACACUGCUGAGCUCUGUGGCUCCUGAGGGAGAUCUUCCAGAAAAUACACAUGGCCCGCCUCUGAAUAGGAAUGAAGAGUAGGUGAUAUAUAUAAGAACCAAACUUUUAACAGUCUACAGUGAACAAUGGCAUACUGCGAGACUCCUGGCAGCUGCUUAUCUGUUCUGACCGCUUGGAAUUUAAGUUCUUUUUAACUUUGGCCAUUUUGGUGGAUUGCGCCUGCACCACUUAGUGAAAAAGACACGUCCUUUGUUCCACUGACUUCAGUGCUGUCUUUCCUAAUAUUGUGUGGCAAUUAUGAUACAGCCAAACCUCACUGACCUCUGCACAAGGUCCAAUGCAGUGAAGUCUCUCACAGGACGUACCUGUAAAUUAUGUGUCUGUUCAGGAUUGACACCCAGGAAGGCUCAACAUUGCAGAAAUACAAGGAUUGAGCAAUCUAGUGCACCACCCUACCGGGU